rnacentral:rRNA from 1 species
GACAGAGGUGCCAAGCGUUAGGCGGAAUCACUGGGCUUAAAGCGUGUGUAGGCGGAAUGGUAAGUACCUUGUGAAAUCCCACGGCUCAACCGUGGAACUGCUUGGUAUACUGCUUUUCUUGAGCCACUUAGGGGCAACCGGAACAAACGGUGGAGCGGUGAAAUGCGUAGAUAUCCUAAGGAACACCGGUGGCGAAAGCGGCUCACUGGGUCUUGUCUGACGCUGAGGCACGAAAGCCAGGGUAGCGAACGGG